CUUUGCAUUAAAAUGUGAUUAUGUGGUGCCUAUCCCUAGUCAUUGAUACUAUAGAAAGAGGAUGCCAAAAGGUUUUCCCUGUAUUUGAAAGGUUCAUUCCUUCCUGUCCUUGCUAAAUCUUGGUGCUUCUGAACA